CGAAGGGGGCUAGCGUUGUUCGGAAUCCCUGGGCGUAAAGGGCGCGUAGGCGGCUGUUCAAGUCGGGGGUGAAAGCCUGUGGCUCAACCACAGAAUUGCCUUCGAUACUGGACGGCUCGAGACCGGAAGAGGUCAGUGGAACUGCGAGUGUAGAGGUGAAAUUCGUAGAUAUUCGCAAGAACACCAGUGGCGAAGGCGGCUGACUGGUCCGGUUCUGACGCUGAGGCGCGAAAGCGUGGGGAGCAAACAGG
rnacentral:rRNA from 1 species